CGAACGGGUGAGUAACACGUGAGUAACCUGCCCCUGACUCUGGGAUAAGCCCGGGAAACUGGGUCUAAUACCGGAUAUGACACAUGUCGGCAUCGAUGGUGUGUGGAAAGUUUUUUCGGUUGGGGAUGGACUCGCGGCCUAUCAGCUUGUUGGUGGGGUAAUGGCCUACCAAGGCGACGACGGGUAGCCGGCCUGAGAGGGCGACCGGCCACACUGGGACUGAGACACGGCCCAGACUCCUACGGGAGGCAGCAGUGGGGAAUAUUGCGCAAUGGGCGAAAGCCUGACGCAGCGACGCCGCGUGGGGGAUGACGGCCUUCGGGUUGUAAACCUCUUUCAGCAGGGACGAAGUUGACGUGUACCUGCAGAAGAAGCGCCGGCUAACUACGUGCCAGCAGCCGCGGUAAUACGUAGGGCGCAAGCGUUGUCCGGAAUUAUUGGGCGUAAAGAGCUCGUAGGUGGCUUGUCACGUCGGGUGUGAAAGCUUGGGGCUUAACUCCAGGUCUGCAUUCGAUACGGGCUGGCUAGAGGUAGGUAGGGGAGAACGGAAUUCCUGGUGUAGCGGUGAAAUGCGCAGAUAUCAGGAGGAACACCGGUGGCGAAGGCGGUUCUCUGGGCCUUACCUGACGCUGAGGAGCGAA
rnacentral:rRNA from 1 species